GUGAGUGGCGAACGGGUGAGUAACACGUGGACAACCUGCCUCAAGGCUGGGGAUAACAUUUGGAAACAGAUGCUAAUACCGAAUAAAACUUAGUGUCGCAUGACACAAAGUUAAAAGGCGCUUCGGCGUCACCUAGAGAUGGAUCCGCGGUGCAUUAGUUAGUUGGUGGGGUAAAGGCCUACCAAGACAAUGAUGCAUAGCCGAGUUGAGAGACUGAUCGGCCACAUUGGGACUGAGACACGGCCCAAACUCCUACGGGAGGCUGCAGUAGGGAAUCUUCCACAAUGGGCGAAAGCCUGAUGGAGCAACGCCGCGUGUGUGAUGAAGGCUUUCGGGUCGUAAAGCACUGUUGUAUGGGAAGAACAGCUAGAAUAGGAAAUGAUUUUAGUUUGACGGUACCAUACCAGAAAGGGACGGCUAAAUACGUGCCAGCAGCCGCGGUAAUACGUAUGUCCCGAGCGUUAUCCGGAUUUAUUGGGCGUAAAGCGAGCGCAGACGGUUUAUUAAGUCUGAUGUGAAAGCCCGGAGCUCAACUCCGGAAUGGCAUUGGAAACUGGUUAACUUGAGUGCAGUAGAGGUAAGUGGAACUCCAUGUGUAGCGGUGGAAUGCGUAGAUAUAUGGAAGAACACCAGUGGCGAAGGCGGCUUACUGGACUGCAACUGACGUUGAGGCUCGAAAGUGUGGGUAGCAAACAGGAUUAGAUACCCUGGUAGUCCACACCGUAAACGAUGAACACUAGGUGUUAGGAGGUUUCCGCCUCUUAGUGCCGAAGCUAACGCAUUAAGUGUUCCGCCUGGGGAGUACGACCGCAAGGUUGAAACUCAAAGGAAUUGACGGGGACCCGCACAAGCGGUGGAGCAUGUGGUUUAAUUCGAAGCAACGCGAAGAACCUUACCAGGUCUUGACAUCCUUUGAAGCUUUUAGAGAUAGAAGUGUUCUCUUCGGAGACAAAGUGACAGGUGGUGCAUGG
rnacentral:rRNA from 1 species